rnacentral:rRNA from 1 species
GCUACGGGGUGCAGCAGUGAGGAAUAUUGGUCAAUGGCCGGAAGGCUGAACCAGCCAAGCCGCGUGAAGGACGAAGGUGCCAAGCAUUGUAAACUUCUUUUGUCAAGGGACAAAAUCAGGCUCGAGAGCCUGACCGAGGGUACUUGAAGAAACAGCAUCGGCUAACUCCGUGCCAGCAGCCGCGGUAAUACGGAGGAUGCAAGCGUUAUCCGGAUUUAUUGGGGUUAAAGGAUGCGUUGGCGGACUGUUAAGUCAGCGGUAAACUCCCGGGGCUCAACCCCGUCGAGCCGUUGAAACGGGCUGUCUUGGGAUGUAGUGGGGUAUGCGGAAUGCGCAGUGUAGCGGUGAAAUGCUUAGAUAUUGCGCAGAAUUCCGAUUGCGAAGGCAGCAUACCGGCGGCGAUCUGACGCUGAGGCACGAAAGCGUGGGUAUCGAACAGGAUUAGAUACCCUUGUAGUC